GGGGGGGGGGGGGGGGGGGCGGGGGGCGGGCGGGGCGAGCGGGAGGGCCCUGCGGGGGUGGGGUGCGCGGGGGGCGAACGGGUGGGUAACACGUGAGUAACCUGCCCUGGACUUUGGGAUAACUUCAGGAAACUGGGGCUAAUACCGGAUAGGAGCUCCUGCUGCAUGGUGGGGGUUGGAAAGUUUCGGCGGGUGGGGAUGGACUCGCGGCUUAUCAGCUUGUUGGUGGGGUAGUGGCUUACCAAGGCCUUGACGGGUCGCCGGCCUGAGAGGGUGACCGGCCACAUUGGGACUGCGAGACGGCCCAGACUCCUACGGGAGGCAGCAGUGGGGAAUAUUGCACAAUGGGCGGAAGCCUGAUGCAGCAACGCCGCGUGCGGGAUGACGGCCUUCGGGUUGUAAACCGCUUUCGCCUGUGACGAAGCGUGAGUGACGGUAAUGGGUAAAGAAGCACCGGCUAACUACGUG
rnacentral:rRNA from 1 species